UAAGACAGAGGUGCCAAGCGUUAGGCGGAAUCACUGGGCUUAAAGCGUGUGUAGGUGGAUUUGUAAGUACCUUGUGAAAUCCCAUGGCUCAACCAUGGAACUGCUCGGUAUACUGCGAAUCUUGAGCCACUUAGGGGCUACCGGAACAAAUGGUGGAGCGGUGAAAUGCGUAGAUAUCAUUUGGAACGCCAAUGGUGAAAACAGGUAGCUGGGAGUGUGCUGACACUGAGACACGAAAGCCAGGGGAGCGAACGGGAUUAGAUACCCCGGUAGUCCUGGCCGUAAACGAUGUCCACUAGAUCGUGGUGGCUCUGACGCCAUCAUGGUCGAAGCAAAAGUGCUAAGUGGACCGCCUGGGAAGUACGGUCGCAAGGCUA
rnacentral:rRNA from 1 species